ACAUUGCAAAGAGUGGCGAACGGGUGGGUAACACGUGGGAAACCUACCUCUUAGCAGGGGAUAACAUUUGGAAACAGAUGCUAAUACCGUAUAACAAUAGCAACCGCAUGGUUGCUACUUAAAAGAUGGUUCUGCUAUCACUAAGAGAUGAUCCCGCGUUGUAUUAGCUAGUUGGUGAGGUAAUGGCUCACCAAGACGAUGAUGCAUAGCCGAGUUGAGAGACUGAUCGGCCACAUUGGGACUGAGACACGGCCCAAACUCC
rnacentral:rRNA from 1 species